CCCUGGUAGUCCAUGCCGUAAACGUUGGGCGCUAGAUGUAGGGACCUUUCCACGGUUUCUGUGUCGUAGCUAACGCAUUAAGCGCCCCGCCUGGGGAGUACGGCCGCAAGGCUAAAACUCAAAGGAAUUGACGGGGGCCCGCACAAGCGGCGGAGCAUGCGGAUUAAUUCGAUGCAACGCGAAGAACCUUACCAAGGCUUGACAUACACCGGAAACGGCCAGAGAUGGUCGCCCCCUUGUGGUCGGUGUACAGGUGGUGCAUGGUUGUCGUCAGCUCGUGUCGUGAGAUGUUGGGUUAAGUCCCGCAACGAGCGCAACCCUCGUUCUAUGUUGCCAGCGGGUUAUGCCGGGGACUCAUAGGAGACUGCCGGGGUCAACUCGGAGGAAGGUGGGGAUGACGUCAAAUCAUCAUGCCCCUUAUGUCUUGGGCUUCACGCAUGCUACAAUGGCCGGUACAAAGGGCUGCGAUACCGUAAGGUGGAGCGAAUCCCAAAAAGCCGGUCUCAGUUCGGAUUGAGGUCUGCAACUCGACCUCAUGAAGUCGGAGUCGCUAGUAAUCGCAGAUCAGCAACGCUGCGGUGAAUACGUUCCCGGGCCUUGUACACACCGCCCGUCAAGUCAUGAAAGUCGGUAACACCCGAAGCCGGUGGCCUAACCCUUGUGGAAGGAGCCGUCGAAGGUGGGAUCGGUGAUUAGGACUAAGUCGUACCAAAGGGUAACA
rnacentral:rRNA from 1 species